rnacentral:rRNA from 1 species
UACGUAGGGCGCAAGCGUUGUCCGGAAUUAUUGGGCGUAAAGAGCUCGUAGGCGGUCUGUUACGUCCGCUGUGAAAACCCAGGGCUUAACCCUGGGCUUGCAGUGGAUACGGGUAGACUAGAGGCAGGUAGGGGAGAAUGGAAUUCCCGGUGUAGCGGUGAAAUGCGCAGAUAUCGGGAGGCACACCUGUUACAUUAGCGGUUCUCUUUUCCUGACCUUACGCUAAUCAUCUAAAGCGUGGUUAUCGAACAGU